GGGUUGUGAGGUUAAGCGACUAAGCGUACACGGUGGAUGCCCUGGCAGUCAGAGGCGAUGAAGGACGUGCUAAUCUGCGAAAAGCGUCGGUAAGGUGAUAUGAACCGUUACAGCCGGCGAUGUCCGAAUGGGGAAACCCAGUGCAAUUCGUUGCACUAUCGUUAACUGAAUACAUAGGUUAACGAGGCGAACCGGGGGAACUGAAACAUCUAAGUACCCCGAGGAAAAGAAAUCAACCGAGAUUCCCCCAGUAGCGGCGAGCGAACGGGGAGCAGCCCGGAGUCUGAAUCAGCUUGUGUGUUAGUGGAAGCGUCUGGAAAGUCGCAGGGUACAGGGUGAUACUCCCGUACACUAAAACACACAGGUUGUGAACUCGAAGAGUAGGGCGGGACACGUGGUAUCCUGUCUGAAUAUGGGGGGACCAUCCUCCAAGGCUAAAUACUCCUGACUGACCGAUAGUGAACCAGUACCGUGAGGGAAAGGCGAAAAGAACCCCGGCGAGGGGAGUGAAAAAGAACCUGAAACCGUGUACGUACAAGCAGUAGGAGCCCACUAGUUGGGUGACUGCGUACCUUUUGUAUAAUGGGUCAGCGACUUAUAUUCUGUAGCAAGGUUAACCGUAUAGGGGAGCCGCAGGGAAACCGAGUCUUAACUGGGCGUUAAGUUGCAGGGUAUAGACCCGAAACCCGGUGAUCUAGCCAUGGGCAGGUUGAAGGUUGGGUAACACUAACUGGAGGACCGAACCGACUAAUGUUGAAAAAUUAGCGGAUGACUUGUGGCUGGGGGUGAAAGGCCAAUCAAACCGGGAGAUAGCUGGUUCUCCCCGAAAGCUAUUUAGGUAGCGCCUCGUGAACUCAUCUUCGGGGGUAGAGCACUGUUUCGGCUAGGGGGUCAUCCCGACUUACCAACCCGAUGCAAACUACGAAUACCGAAGAAUGUUAUCACGGGAGACACACGGCGGGUGCUAACGUCCGUCGUGAAGAGGGAAACAACCCAGACCGCCAGCUAAGGUCCCAAAGUCAUGGUUAAGUGGGAAACGAUGUGGGAAGGCCCAGACAGCCAGGAUGUUGGCUUAGAAGCAGCCAUCAUUUAAAGAAAGCGUAAUAGCUCACUGGUCGAGUCGGCCUGCGCGGAAGAUGUAACGGGGCUAAACCAUGCACCGAAGCUGCGGCAGCGACACUAUGUGUUGUUGGGUAGGGGAGCGUUCUGUAAGCCGUUGAAGGUGGCCUGUGAGGGUUGCUGGAGGUAUCAGAAGUGCGAAUGCUGACAUAAGUAACGAUAAUGCGGGUGAAAAACCCGCACGCCGGAAGACCAAGGGUUCCUGUCCAACGUUAAUCGGGGCAGGGUGAGUCGACCCCUAAGGCGAGGCCGAAAGGCGUAGUCGAUGGGAAACAGGUUAAUAUUCCUGUACUCGGUGUUACUGCGAAGGGGGGACGGAGAAGGCUAUGUUGGCCGGGCGACGGUUGUCCCGGUUUAAGCAUGUAGGCGGAUGUUCCAGGUAAAUCCGGAACGUUAUUAACGCUGAGGUGUGAUGACGAGGCACUACGGUGCUGAAGUGACAAAUGCCCUGCUUCCAGGAAAAGCCUCUAAGCAUCAGGUAACAUCAAAUCGUACCCCAAACCGACACAGGUGGUCAGGUAGAGAAUACCAAGGCGCUUGAGAGAACUCGGGUGAAGGAACUAGGCAAAAUGGUGCCGUAACUUCGGGAGAAGGCACGCUGAUGGUAGGUGAAGCGACUUGCUCGUGGAGCUGAAAUCAGUCGAAGAUACCAGCUGGCUGCAACUGUUUAUUAAAAACACAGCACUGUGCAAACACGAAAGUGGACGUAUACGGUGUGACGCCUGCCCGGUGCCGGAAGGUUAAUUGAUGGGGUUAUCCGUAAGGAGAAGCUCUUGAUCGAAGCCCCGGUAAACGGCGGCCGUAACUAUAACGGUCCUAAGGUAGCGAAAUUCCUUGUCGGGUAAGUUCCGACCUGCACGAAUGGCGUAAUGAUGGCCAGGCUGUCUCCACCCGAGACUCAGUGAAAUUGAACUCGCUGUGAAGAUGCAGUGUACCCGCGGCAAGACGGAAAGACCCCGUGAACCUUUACUAUAGCUUGACACUGAACACUGGUCCUUGAUGUGUAGGAUAGGUGGGAGGCUUUGAAGUGUGGACGCCAGUCUGCAUGGAGCCAUCCUUGAAAUACCACCCUUUAAUGGCUGGUGUUCUAACGUGGGCCCCUGAUCGGGGUUGCGGACAGUGUCUGGUGGGUAGUUUGACUGGGGCGGUCUCCUCCUAAAGAGUAACGGAGGAGCACGAAGGUCAGCUAAUCCUGGUCGGACAUCAGGAGGUUAGUGCAAUGGCAUAAGCUGGCUUGACUGCGAGCGUGACGGCGCGAGCAGGUGCGAAAGCAGGUCAUAGUGAUCCGGUGGUUCUGAAUGGAAGGGCCAUCGCUCAACGGAUAAAAGGUACUCCGGGGAUAACAGGCUGAUACCGCCCAAGAGUUCAUAUCGACGGCGGUGUUUGGCACCUCGAUGUCGGCUCAUCACAUCCUGGGGCUGAAGUAGGUCCCAAGGGUAUGGCUGUUCGCCAUUUAAAGUGGUACGCGAGCUGGGUUUAGAACGUCGUGAGACAGUUCGGUCCCUAUCUGCCGUGGGCGCUGGAGAAUUGAGGGGGGCUGCUCCUAGUACGAGAGGACCGGAGUGGACGCAUCACUGGUGUUCGGGUUGUCAUGCCAAUGGCAUUGCCCGGUAGCUAAAUGCGGAAGAGAUAAGUGCUGAAAGCAUCUAAGCACGAAACUUGCCCCGAGAUGAGUUCUCCCUGACCCUUUAAGGGUCCUGAAGGAACGUUGAAGACGACGACGUUGAUAGGCCGGGUGUGUAAGCGCAGCGAUGCGUUGAGCUAACCGGUACUAAUGAACCGUGAGGCUUAACCUUACAACGCCGAAG
rnacentral:rRNA from 1 species